rnacentral:rRNA from 1 species
UACAGAGGGUGCGAGCGUUAAUCGGAAUUACUGGGCGUAAAGCGUGCGCAGGCGGUUCGUUAUGUCCGAUGUGAAAGCCCCGAGCUUAACUUGGGAAUGGCAUUGGAAACUGGCGGGCUGGAGUGCGGCAGAGGGGGGUGGAAUUCCACGUGUAGCAGUGAAAUGCGUAGAGAUGUGGAGGAACACCGAUGGCGAAGGCAGCCCCCUGGGCCGACACUGACGCUCAGGCACGAAAGCGUGGGGAGCAAACAGG